UGGGGAAUAUUGCACAAUGGGCGCAAGCCUGAUGCAGCCAUGCCGCGUGUAUGAAGAAGGCCUUCGGGUUGUAAAGUACUUUCAGCGGGGAGGAAGGGAGUAAAGUUAAUACCUUUGCUCAUUGACGUUACCCGCAGAAGAAGCACCGGCUAACUCCGUGCCAGCAGCCGCGGUAAUACGGAGGGUGCAAGCGUUAAUCGGAAUUACUGGGCGUAAAGCGCACGCAGGCGGUUUGUUAAGUCAGAUGUGAAAUCCUCGGGCUCAACCUGGGAACUGCAUCUGAUACUGGCAAGCUUGAGUCUCGUAGAGGGGGGUAGAAUUCCAGGUGUAGCGGUGAAAUGCGUAGAGAUGUGGAGGAAUACCGGUGGCGAAGGCGGCCCCCUGGAAAAAGACUGACGCUCAGGUGCGAAAGCGUGGGGAGCAAACAGG
rnacentral:rRNA from 1 species